AGAGACUUGACCGAGUGGCUGAAGGUGAUUGUCUUGAGUACAAUUUAAUUGAAUAAAUUACGAGGGUUCGAAUCCCUCAGUCUCUG